GCGAGAGGUCUGGUGAACUGUCUUUAGUUGAAGUUAGUUUGCGCUUCUCUCUGUUCCUGUUUGGAUGGUUAUUUCGACGCAAAGUGAACUUCGGCAUUUAGGAAAACUUGAAAUCUUCAUGAGUUCCGAGGACUAAGAUUAAUCGCACAAAUGGGGGAUGUGGACUGCAGGUCUGUUGUAAAACUGAAUCUGGGUCAUUAAAAUUGUAAAUCCUCCAGUCCGACAGCAUGGAUCUGCUGGGCCGGUCCGGAGGGGAGAUUCAGCGCAGAAACCCACAGCAUGACUUUGAGCUGAUCCAGAGAGUUGGCAGCGGGACCUAUGGAGAUGUGUAUAAGGCUCGUAACAUCUCUACUGGAGAGCUUGCAGCAGUGAAG